AUGGAGAUUUUCAAGCAUGUGAGAGAGGUUGAUUGUUAUCCCAAUGUGUCCAUUGCUUAUUGCAUCUUAUUUACUGUGCAUGUGACUGUCGCAUCGAUUGGAUCAAGUUUUUCAAAGUUGAAAUUAUUGAAGAACUAUUUAGGAUCAACAAUGACUCACGAGAGACUAAAUGGAGUAUUAUGCAUCGAGAAGAAAUUAUUGGAUGAGAUUGACAUCAACCCCCUCAUAAGUGACUUUACACUGAGGAAUGUAAAGAAAAUUCGAAGGUAA
rnacentral:rRNA from 1 species